CACGUACUGUGCGAACGUUAUUCGGAAUCACUGGGCUUAAAGGGUGCGUAGGCGGCCAAUCAAGUCAGGUGUGAAAUCCCACGGCUCAACCGUGGAACUGCGCUUGAAACUGGUUGGCUUGAGUAAGACAGGGGUGUCUGGAACUUCUGGUGGAGCGGUGAAAUGUGUUGAUAUCAGAAGGAACACCGGUGGCGAAAGCGAGACACUGGGUCUUAACUGACGCUGAGGCACGAAAGCCAGGGUAGCGAACGGG
rnacentral:misc_RNA from 1 species